rnacentral:lncRNA from 1 species
CUUCCCUCGCACUCAUAUUUCACAGUUUGUUUGUUUUUUCGAUUCUUUAUCUGCAUACAAAUCUGUAUAUGUGUACAUAUUGAAUUUUCAACUGAAUGCAAAACACACACCAAAUACAGUGGUACCUCUGGUUACGAACUUAAUUUGUUCCGGAGGUCCGUUCUUACCCUGAAGUACCACUUUAGCUAAUGGGGCCUCCCGCUACCGCCGCUGCGCAAUUUCUGUUCUCAUCCUGAGGUAAAGUUCUUAACCCGAGAUACUACUUCCGGGUUAGUGGAGUCUGUAACCCGAAGUGUUUGUAACCUGAGGUGUUUGUAACCCGAGGUACCACAGCUGGCCCACUCACCACACCAGCCAGAAACAAACAUCCUGGUUUCCUGAGAAACAAUGAUUAAGGCAUCCGACUCCCUCCAUGUGCCUUCCUGACUUCCCCACAACAUACCAAAUAUGUGGGGAGGACAAAACAUGUGGCCACACAGCCCACGCCAAUUAACACAAGCCAGCAAGCCUGUUGCACCCUGUUGUACGCAGGACAGGCGUCAGAACCAGAAAGAACAAGUGUUAUUCCUGGCACCCUGGACCAGGAGACAGCUAAUAAUUUGCUAGAGCGCUUAUGCGCAUCAUGUACACUGUGCAUGUUCAAUGUUACACACAAAAAAAACCCACGGAAAAAUAACCUUUUUUUAAAAGGGCUUUUAAAAAGACACCCAGCAGCCAUAAUUAGCAAACAGCCACAAAUGAACAAAAUCGCUCCCAGAAACAAGAAUGAGAAACCAUCAAGGCAGGAGGCAGGAAGGAGGAGGGGGAGGAGGAGGGAGACAAUGAGGAAGACCAGGGAGCAACCGACCACGCCUGUUUUGCAACCCACGGACCGUUACGCGAACCAGCAAGCCGCCCAGGUCGCUCGCCGGGGAUGCUGCGCCGCCGCGUCUCCUUUUAUUGCGCCGUCUCCGGCUUGGUGUCACCCGCCUCUCCCGGACCUGGAUCAACCUCAGUGCCAGACCUCGGUCCCCACCGAUCGUCCCGGGGAAACGGGGCGAGACAGCAAGCGAGGGGGGCUAAGUUAGCCCUCGUCGC